GGCUGAGGCUGGUCUUUGUUCUUCUGGGUAUUCUAAUAGCAGUAAAGCCUCAAGAGGCAGAUAACCUUUCUUUACAAGACAUUGCAAAGAAACUGGAAACUCGAUUCCUUCUGCAGAAUGUGGAAGAAGCCAAGAAAUUAGUAGAUGCUGCCUAUGAAUAUACCUAGAACUGGUUAGAAGAAAAACUAAGGAAAGAGACAGUACGCCCUUCAGAUAUCCUAGUGUCUUUCAGACGACCUGUAGGAAAAACUCGGUCGCAUGUGAAAGCUGCUCAAUAUAGGCUGGUGGCCUUGGACCUCUUGAAAGAGAAGCUGCAGGAUGUAUUUCCUCAGGAAUUCAAUAUCACAGAAUUUAUCCUUUUUGCAAGAGGGGUCAGAUGUCAACGCUGCUAACAUCGGAUGUUUUUGCAUUGACAACAAAUGGAAAUGUAGCUAUCUUUUACCUUUUGCUUUUAGAGUUAGAUGAUGCUGGGAGGGGGAAUGUGAGCGAGAGUCCAGCUAGACAUAACAACGCUGGACCCAGUGUGAGAGACAAGGUUAUUGUAACCAGAGCUGAUAAGAAAUUGGCGGGCUGGAGAACGGGAGAGGAAUCCCGCGCUUCAUGCUAAUUGGGGAAUGUGAUUUAGCUUCAUGCUAAUUGGGGAAUGACUGUUAAUUAGAGGAGGGAAUUGUGCUUUGAUACUAUGUGC